CUCCUUGACACAGAAGGGAAACAAAUUGGAAAGAUAUUCAACAGCAGGUGGAAAUGUGUACUAAACUGGUUUUUCUUUUAGGGCGACCGAGGAUUUGAUGGCUUGGCUGGUUUGCCUGGUGAGAAGGGAAAUAGAGGUGAGCCAGGCCCUCAUGGACCCCCAGGGGCACCGGGAGAGGAUGGGGAGAGGGGAGACGAUGGAGAAGUUGGACCCAGAGGUCUGCCUGGAGAACCUGUG
rnacentral:lncRNA from 1 species